GGCGGAGCCAGAGGCUGCCAAAAGGGCUCCUACGGAAGCCGGAGGAUCCAAACUACCCCAAACCCUUAUCUACACCCUAAACUCUGGAGUGGCUAGGUUUGCAUGCGUUCCAGAGGAUUGCUGUGAGAGGACUGAAUGAGAUGAUGGUUUUGUAAAGUGGUGCUUGGCACAUCAUAAGCAAGAUGAUCUACAUGACAUUUCUGGCUCUACAAAUAGAAAUGAAAAACCUAGAUUGGGGUUGGCAGCGCUUGAUGUGAGAAGCAAUCAGAAUAGAAUCCUCAAUCACCCCAUGCUCAAGCCAUAUUGACUGAAUUACUUUACUUCUACACAGGACCGUGUUUUACUAGACACUAGAAAUACAGUUGCCAACAGAGGUCCAUCUAGUCAAAGCUAUGGUUUUUCCAGUAGUCAUGUAUGGAUGUGAGAGUUGGACCAUAAAGAAGGCUAAG